CGGGACGGGUGAGUAACGCGUGGUAACCUGCCUUGUACUGGGGGACAACAGUUAGAAAUGACUGCUAAUACCGCAUAAGCGCACAGUAUCGCAUGAUACAGUGUGAAAAACUCCGGUGGUACAAGAUGGACCCGCGUCUGAUUAGCUAGUUGGUAAGGUAACGGCUUACCAAGGCGACGAUCAGUAGCCGACCUGAGAGGGUGACCGGCCACAUUGGGACUGAGACACGGCCCAA
rnacentral:rRNA from 1 species